rnacentral:rRNA from 3 species
UUAAGUUAUUAAGGGCGCACGGUGGAUGCCUUGGCACUAGAAGCCGAUGAAGGACGUUACUAACGACGAUAUGCUUUGGGGAGCUGUAAGUAAGCUUUGAUCCAGAGAUUUCCGAAUGGGGAAACCCAGCAUGAGUUAUGUCAUGUUAUCGAUAUGUGAAUACAUAGCAUAUCAGAAGGCACACCCGGAGAACUGAAACAUCUUAGUACCCGGAGGAAGAGAAAGAAAAUUCGAUUCCCUUAGUAGCGGCGAGCGAAAUGGGAAGAGCCCAAACCAACAAGCUUGCUUGUUGGGGUUGUAGGACACUCUAUACGGAGUUACAAAGGACGACAUUAGACGAAUCAUCUGGAAAGAUGAAUCAAAGAAGGUAAUAAUCCUGUAGUCGAAAAUGUUGUCUCUCUUGAGUGGAUCCUGAGUACGACGGAGCACGUGAAAUUCCGUCGGAAUCUGGGGGGACCAUCUCCUAAGGCUAAAUACUCUCUAGUGACCGAUAGUGAACCAGUACCGUGAGGGAAAGGUGAAAAGCACCCCGGAAGGGGAGUGAAAUAGAACCUGAAACCGUGUGCUUACAAGUAGUCAGAGCCCGUUAAUGGGUGAUGGCGUGCCUUUUGUAGAAUGAACCGGCGAGUUACGAUUUGAUGCAAGGUUAAGCAGUAAAUGUGGAGCCGUAGCGAAAGCGAGUCUGAAUAGGGCGUUUAGUAUUUGGUCGUAGACCCGAAACCAGGUGAUCUACCCUUGGUCAGGUUGAAGUUCAGGUAACACUGAAUGGAGGACCGAACCGACUUACGUUGAAAAGUGAGCGGAUGAACUGAGGGUAGCGGAGAAAUUCCAAUCGAACCUGGAGAUAGCUGGUUCUCUCCGAAAUAGCUUUAGGGCUAGCCUCAAGUGAUGAUUAUUGGAGGUAGAGCACUGUUUGGACGAGGGGCCCCUCUCGGGUUACCGAAUUCAGACAAACUCCGAAUGCCAAUUAAUUUAACUUGGGAGUCAGAACAUGGGUGAUAAGGUCCGUGUUCGAAAGGGAAACAGCCCAGACCACCAGCUAAGGUCCCAAAAUAUAUGUUAAGUGGAAAAGGAUGUGGCGUUGCCCAGACAACUAGGAUGUUGGCUUAGAAGCAGCCAUCAUUUAAAGAGUGCGUAAUAGCUCACUAGUCGAGUGACACUGCGCCGAAAAUGUACCGGGGCUAAACAUAUUACCGAAGCUGUGGAUUGUCCUUUGGACAAUGGUAGGAGAGCGUUCUAAGGGCGUUGAAGCAUGAUCGUAAGGACAUGUGGAGCGCUUAGAAGUGAGAAUGCCGGUGUGAGUAGCGAAAGACGGGUGAGAAUCCCGUCCACCGAUUGACUAAGGUUUCCAGAGGAAGGCUCGUCCGCUCUGGGUUAGUCGGGUCCUAAGCUGAGGCCGACAGGCGUAGGCGAUGGAUAACAGGUUGAUAUUCCUGUACCACCUAUAAUCGUUUUAAUCGAUGGGGGGACGCAGUAGGAUAGGCGAAGCGUGCGAUUGGAUUGCACGUCUAAGCAGUAAGGCUGAGUAUUAGGCAAAUCCGGUACUCGUUAAGGCUGAGCUGUGAUGGGGAGAAGACAUUGUGUCUUCGAGUCGUUGAUUUCACACUGCCGAGAAAAGCCUCUAGAUAGAAAAUAGGUGCCCGUACCGCAAACCGACACAGGUAGUCAAGAUGAGAAUUCUAAGGUGAGCGAGCGAACUCUCGUUAAGGAACUCGGCAAAAUGACCCCGUAACUUCGGGAGAAGGGGUGCUCUUUAGGGUUAACGCCCAGAAGAGCCGCAGUGAAUAGGCCCAAGCGACUGUUUAUCAAAAACACAGGUCUCUGCUAAACCGUAAGGUGAUGUAUAGGGGCUGACGCCUGCCCGGUGCUGGAAGGUUAAGAGGAGUGGUUAGCUUCUGCGAAGCUACGAAUCGAAGCCCCAGUAAACGGCGGCCGUAACUAUAACGGUCCUAAGGUAGCGAAAUUCCUUGUCGGGUAAGUUCCGACCCGCACGAAAGGCGUAACGAUUUGGGCACUGUCUCAACGAGAGACUCGGUGAAAUCAUAGUACCUGUGAAGAUGCAGGUUACCCGCGACAGGACGGAAAGACCCCGUGGAGCUUUACUGUAGCCUGAUAUUGAAAUUCGGCACAGCUUGUACAGGAUAGGUAGGAGCCUUUGAAACGUGAGCGCUAGCUUACGUGGAGGCGCUGGUGGGAUACUACCCUAGCUGUGUUGGCUUUCUAACCCGCACCACUUAUCGUGGUGGGAGACAGUGUCAGGCGGGCAGUUUGACUGGGGCGGUCGCCUCCUAAAAGGUAACGGAGGCGCUCAAAGGUUCCCUCAGAAUGGUUGGAAAUCAUUCAUAGAGUGUAAAGGCAUAAGGGAGCUUGACUGCGAGACCUACAAGUCGAGCAGGGUCGAAAGACGGACUUAGUGAUCCGGUGGUUCCGCAUGGAAGGGCCAUCGCUCAACGGAUAAAAGCUACCCCGGGGAUAACAGGCUUAUCUCCCCCAAGAGUUCACAUCGACGGGGAGGUUUGGCACCUCGAUGUCGGCUCAUCGCAUCCUGGGGCUGUAGUCGGUCCCAAGGGUUGGGCUGUUCGCCCAUUAAAGCGGUACGCGAGCUGGGUUCAGAACGUCGUGAGACAGUUCGGUCCCUAUCCGUCGUGGGCGUAGGAAAUUUGAGAGGAGCUGUCCUUAGUACGAGAGGACCGGGAUGGACAUACCUCUGGUGUACCAGUUGUCGUGCCAACGGCAUAGCUGGGUAGCUAUGUGUGGACGGGAUAAGUGCUGAAAGCAUCUAAGCAUGAAGCCCCCCUCAAGAUGAGAUUUCCCAACUUCGGUUAUAAGAUCCCUCAAAGAUGAUGAGGUUAAUAGGUUCGAGGUGGAAGCAUGGUGACAUGUGGAGCUGACGAAUACUAAUCGAUCGAAGACUUAAUCAA